UAGAGUCCGGAGAAAGAGGCGGGACCUGAGGGAAGGGGAAAAGGACUUAGUGAAGGGGGCGUGGCCGGGAACUAGGGCAAAGGUCGUGCGCGUAGGGAGGUGCUCCUGCAGCGCAGCUCCUCCGGAGCCUCCCAAACCUUUCCCAACGCCCUCGCAUUUAUCCAUCCCCCAGUUCCCCACUGUUUCCUCGCCUGUUUAAGUCGCUGUGCUCGCAUCCCCUGCGCCCUCUUGUGUCUGUCUCCCCAUCUUCUUCUUGUCAUGUUCCUGGUCCCACGACCAUGCCUCUUCCGUCCCCCUAUAUCCGUUUUUCCGCGUCCAUGUCCCUACAUCCCUUCCGAGCACCCAUGUGCUCUCCUGACCGCACCACUCCUGUGCCCCUUUCCCCCUCUCAAGCCAUGCGCCUUGUCCACUCCACCCAAGCUCGUGUCCCCAUGUUCCUCAUUCCCUAUAGCUUCAUGUGCUUAUGUCCUCCCUGAACCCCCAGGUGUCCCCGUGUCCCAGUCCCCCGUCCUCUUCAUAUCCACAUUGCUCCCGCGUGCGUUCCUGUCCCCCGUGUCCUUACAGCCCCCAGAAAGCCACGCGGAGCCGCGGCGGUGAAAGCCGUUCCUUUAUUCUGCCCCAGGCAGGCCGCGGUCACAAGCACACGGGGAAUCCACUGAGGGCAUCCGUGCUCUGCAAGACCCUGUCCGCCAGCAGAAAGCAGAAGCCCGGCGGGAGGGGAACGGAGGGCAGAAGCCUGGGAGACGGUUACCCGCGAGAAUAGAGAAGGGUAAAGCCAGCCACCCCGAAAAACAGGACCACGAGAAGAAGACGUCGUUCUUCCGCGCGUUCUUCACUGUGUAGCCUGUCAAGGCGAUCAGCAGCAGCAGGCCUGCGCUCGGCGCACCAGGGGAGCUCGGCCUGGGCAGGGAGGUGGGGGGCGCACCCAGGCCCCACCCAGAGUACGCCCAUCCAGGGCCACGCCCCUUUCCCUCAGCCACGCCCCCUCUGGGUCUCUGGUCCCUGUCCCCACUCGCAUCCCCGCGACCCCUGGGCCCCUGUCCCCUGCAACCCCCAGGCCCAUCCUAUGACUGUGGGCCCGCUGCCGUCCCACCGUAGAGGAAGAAGAUGCCGCUCGUAGUCUGGCCCCGUGAGUCGCCCUCGUGGCACAGGAUCCUCAGCCCCAUCACCAAACACCUGAUGCCGACAGCACCAUGCACGCCCCUGUCACCGCCAGCAUGGCUGGGGAGAGGGGCCGCCUCAGCCGAGCCCCCAGCAGGCCUCUCCAGGUCCCGGAGCAGUAGUCACCUGUACAGAGACAGAGGACAGCUGAAACCCAGCCCAGGUAGAAUGACCAGGAGAAGAAGGUCUGGAUCUGAGG